GCAGAGCGACAUCCUGCUUUUUUAUUCUUAUUUUAUACUAUUAUUUAUAUAGGUACUGAAAUAUAUACCACUGUGACAGACGACAGUAGCACUAUCCUUACAAAACAUAAACUUUUGGUUACAUUGUAUAUUCAUAUUAUAACCUCCGUGCAUGACGCUUAAAAUAAAUAAAACCAAAUCGUUUCUUUCAUAAAAUAUUGUUUUCGUAGAAUAGUUUGGUUGAUGCAUAGACUAUUCAGCAUAGUUCCCAGCCUGCGUUACCUUUGCCGCGAUGGCGUGCUCGAUGAAGACGUAACAAAAAAUAGUAUGUCCUGUGCUCGUGAGGAAAGGCGAUUUCAGUCUUGGGUGAAAUACGGCCCUUGACUGCGGCUCGUGCCGCACACGUCGCCCUCGACUGAAAUAGCUCACUUCCCGCCCUUGCCACACAAUAUGUCGUAAAUAUAUUUUCGGAUAUUUUGUGGGUCACCAAAACAAUAAAGUCGGUCAGUGGCAUUGAACUUUAUAAUAACUGGAACGCUCACCGCCCAUAUGACUAGUGUAAAUAAAACCGAGCGAGUGUGUUAGAAAGAGAUAGCGAAUACUUUAGGUAUUUCUAUCAUUCUAUCUCUGUCUCUUUAUUGAUAAUACGUCGUACCGUAUUCAUUUUAAAUGUUCACCGGCAUAAAUAUUGUGAAUAUUGUGAUCGACGUCCGUCAAUUUCAGCUUUUUGCUCUUUCUGCUUGAAUUGACGUGUUUGUUAAUAUUUUAUAUUCUAGUCUACAGGUACAAUUAGAAAAUGGUGAAUUUUUGUAGUGCAUUUAACUGGAACAGUUCAAGUGAUGUUAAAAAUGAAUUAAUAUUUCACAAGUUUCCACUUAAUGAUAGUGAGAGAUUAAAAAAAUGGAUACAUGCUGUCAGACGGACCAAUUUCUAACCAAACGGUAGUUCAUUUUUAUGUAGUCUAAAUUUCAAUGAGAAUGACUAUAAUAAACCUGUUGAAAGUGGGAAGUUGGUUUUGAAAAAAUGUGUUGUGCCAACUAUCUUCGAUUUCCCUGAUCAUUUAAUGCCAAAGGUGAAAGAAAGACGAAUUCUGCAGCGAUCGGUGGAAAUUCAAGAAAUACAUCAGAAGAAUAUACAAAUCCUUCCAGGCAGUGUGGAACAUAGAAUACAAUUUUGGGGAGGUUUUGUAUCAUAUAUACCAGUGACAAAACUAGAGGGGCCUGUGACUCCCUGACUACAUUUUUAUAUAUGAGCCUAAAUUAUUUUCCAACAUGCAUAGGGUGACCAUACGUCCCGUAUAAUCCCGUUUUUUUCUUUAUUGUUAAUUUAUAAUUUUUUUUUAUUCUACGAUAUUUUUAGUAUCACAGUAUUCAAUAGAACAUAUUUUAAAUCUAUACUCGUGCCGCCGGUAGAACGCUACUCGCUC